GACGAACCGUGCGAACGUUGUUCGGAAUCACUGGGCUUAAAGGGCGCGUAGGCGGCCGCACAAGUCAGGGGUGAAAUCUUUCGGCUCAACCGGAAAAGUGCCUCUGAUACUGUGCGGCUCGAGGGAGGUAGGGGCGGACGGAACUUCCGGUGGAGCGGUGAAAUGCGUUGAUAUCGGAAGGAACGCCGGUGGCGAAGGCGGCAUUCUGGACUGUAACUGACACUGAGGAACGAAAGCCAGGGGAGCAAACGGG
rnacentral:rRNA from 1 species